UAGAAUUUGCAGAGAUGGUUUGGUGCCUUCGGGAACUCUGAGACAGGUGCUGCAUGGCUGUCGUCAGCUCGUGUUGUGAAAUGUUGGGUUAAGUCCCGCAACGAGCGCAACCCUUAUCCUUUGUUGCCAGCGGUUCGGCCGGGGAACUCAAGGGAAAUGGCCGGGAAUAACUGGAAGAAGGGGGGGAAGAACUCCAGUCCUCCUGGGCCUUACCAAUUAGGGUUCCCCCCUGCCACCAUGGGCCAAACCAAGAAAAACCAACUCCCCAGAACCAGCCGAACUCCUAAAAUGCGUUCUAAUCCCGAAUGGAAUCCGCCACUCCACUCCCUUAAAUCCGAAUCCCUUGUAAUCCUAAAAUAAAAUGGUUCCGGGAAUACCUUCCCCGGUCUUGUCACCCCCGGA
rnacentral:rRNA from 1 species